UUCUGUUUUCCCUGUGUCAAACGUUUUUCAUCAGAACUUCCGAGAACCUCCGCCAUGAUUUCGACGACAAAUCUGAGACCUAACAUCAGAUUUUAACCCAGAAAUCAGUGCAAUUGAUUUCCGUUUAUCAUGCUACUGAACAUCUGAAACCUUAAAAUCAAAUUUCCAUUACUUUUUUUCUCUCUGCGGAUUCAUCUUUUGAUCGUUAGGUUUAAAUCAGUAAUGGGUUUGCUUAUUUUCACACAUAGAACGACGUCACAGAAAUCAAAGUGAACAGCUGCGAGGUAUAGGGUCAAGGUUGAGCAUCCUGAUCAAGCCAAGUUUGAACAACUCAGUAAAGAAAUUGCUGAAUCUGCUGCUGCAUUUUCCAUCUCUUCACCAACACACAUCAGUAUCCCAAAAACCACAGGACUAAACUAAAUAUUCACUUUAGAUGUUGAUAUUAUUUUAUUACCACAUUGUUUUCAUGGGAUUAGUUAGAGUUGAAUUUUGCCUCUGCAUUCACUAAUAUCUUCCCAGCUUGCAUUUAUUUCUUGAAUAGCAUGUUCAAAGUGUACAAAUGUCUGAAUAGUUUUUCGUCAUGUAUCAUGGACUUCUUGCUUUUUACUCUAGCUAGGCUUUUGGGAGUUGAUGACUUUAUCCACAGUCACACAUCGAGUCCUGAAAGUAUAACCUUCCAUGAAAGAGGAGAAGAAAAUGAGGCGCUGAUAACACAUUUUACGUUCAAACAUAAAGUUGAUAGUACUGUUAUAGGAUUACAUAAUGAACUGUCGUCACCCGUCUCAGUGACGACCCUGUUGGUUUGUGAUUUACAUAGCAAGUUUCAGAAAUGUUGCCCUAUAAUAACCCUCUCUCCCCUAUCAUGAUAGAUAAAAAACAUGAAUAGCAGCAUCUACAUUUGCCGGUGGGUUGACACUGCGGCACUGCCACAACACCUUUCUAGCCAUAUAUUAAUAUGAUGUUUUCAGUUGUGAAGCAUAUAUGAUGUUAGACUGAUUGGAAUAGUAACUCUAGAACUGUGAGUAAGUGGCCGGGGGGUGUAAAGUAAGAUUAGUUGUAGCUGUAAGGACAUGGGAAUUGGACCUGACUUAUAGUACUCAUAUACUCUGCCAUGUUCACACUCCAUAUUUCAGAAAAUAAGAGAAAAAUACAGGGUAAUGUUUAUAAGAGAGUAAAAAACAUUUUUGUAUUGACACGUGUUCACACUCCACAUUUCUAUUUGCAGGGGAAAGUGAUGGAAAAGAUUAUUCAACAAGCUGGACACAAACAAACUGAAAUUCAUCUUAGAGAACCUAUGUCGGGCCUCACAAUCGUGGUUGAUGGCAGUUUAAUAUCACAAACGAAGGAGGUUGCGGAAUUAAUUUUGAAGUCGUAUCCUACCCAAAUUUUAAGUGAAUGAGAAAAUAGUUUGAAGGUAAGUAGGUAACUACCAAUUUAGAAUAUUAAAAAUAUCAAUUUUAUAGAUUCCUGUACAAUGUAGAUGCAGGUCUAACAAAUUAAUACUGAAAAAAAAGGGUUGUUACACUAGCUUUACAGAAGGGAAACCUCAAUUGAAGGCUGUUGAUGGGGAAACAAAGAUCUUGACCCCUGAAGCGUGUUGGAUAUUUCAUUAUAUGAUUUUUUCUGUAAAUUUAUUGUGUUGCCUUUUAGACUGCAGGAUGGUUGCAUGAUCAUGUAGUACCUGAUGGGUCGAGGGAGAGACUGGUUUGAUUGUCACAUUACAUUUCUUUGUCAAUCCUUCAGAAAUUUAAGCAAUGGGAAAUCUUGGAAUCAUUGAGCAAGGUCGACUAUGGCAGUGGAUUGAUACCACAGUCAACAAUCCUUGCUCUAUCUUGACAGAUGAUUGAUACCACAACGGAUGCAAUUAACAAUCCACUCUCUAUUGAAGCCGUACAAUUAUUUAUGUAAAUGACUACUUUGAAUUGAGAAGUUACAGAAAGAAAAAUUUAGUUCUUAGUUCUUGAAUUUUGGUGUUUAUUGAUAGACACAUUUUUGUGUCUGAAUUGUUCUCAGUGUCUCUAUUGCUAGUGCUUGAUUUUG